rnacentral:lncRNA from 1 species
UGAUCCAAACCCUUUAUUUGUCUUGAGAAAUUCAUUGAAUAUGUACAAAAUAUUAGUUUGGAACCCAUAACUUAAAAAGAACUAGAAUCUCAAGCCUAUAAACUUCAAAUCAUAAUCAUGACUUCGCCUCUAAUCACAGCACAUUAGCCUCAGUUACUGGAGAACAGUUUAAGGGAUAUUUUCAGUUGGCUCUCAUAUUCAUUCUUAUUUGCCAUAGCAAAUAAGAAGAGAAGAGCAUUUUAUCAAACUGGUUCGCUGUACAUGUUAGGAAACACAUCUAUACAAGUGUAACAUUGUUGCUUAACAUGUGACAAAAUAUGUACAAAAACUAUCCUGCAUUCCACAUGGUGCUCAAGCACAGGCAUCCAACAGACGCGAUCAUUUACACUUGAAGGGCAAGCAUCUGAAAAGCGGUAUUUACCAGCGGCAAAUUCCAGGUGCCUCCGUUCGCAAAAGGGAAACCAUCUCUUCGUACUUGGAAGCAUAUACAAAGCCCCAUAACUGCAUGGCACAUGAUAAAUGUAUAUUGCACUCUUAAAGUUAAAUUUCAUAUAGCUAAGUGCAAACAAACUGCCCUGUGACAGGCUGACACACACAUGCAUUUACAUAUACAGACAGAGACAAGGCAGGCCACAACCCGCACACGUAUGCAAACACAAACACACACAGAGAUACAGUUGUGAGUCUACCUCAACUUCCUUAACUUCAAAGUCUUCAGUGUGUGCCAAACAAGAAUUUCCAUACGUUUCUGAUGUUGCACUUGAACCUGUUAGCCUGAAAAAGUCGACUUGAAUUAAUCCCAAAUAAGUUGGAAUCAUCAGAUUUGAUUUCAUAGUAAAUAUAUUAAGUCAAAAAGGUGAGGUUCAUGACGAUGAUGAUGAUAGUUUCCACCUUAAGUUCAUUGAGAAGGUUAAUAUUUCAAAUUUUGACAUGACAACAAAAAUUUGGAUGGACAAAGAAGAUAACUCCCAAGAGGCUGUGGGGCAUUCGAUAAUCCUCUUUUUUCUCCCUUUAUUGGAGGACAUUAUGAUACUAAGUGAGAAGUGGUGAAAAGUCAUACAAACAUAAUUCAACAGUAGAUUCAAUAAGUUGAAACAUACAUAGCCAACACAAUCUUUUGGCUAGCUUUUUUGGUGCAACCUGGCUUUUGUUAAAGAUAUAGUUCCAUAUUAGAUAUGAUGGGGGCCUUGCACAAUUUGCAACGCACUAUCUUAGUGUUGUUACACCAUUUAUUAGAUUUCAUCUUUACUUAUUAAAAAACAUAAAGCAAUGAAAUCAGGAGCAAAAGAAAGGAGAAAGAAAUCUUACAGAUCCCCAUCUAAGUAGAGAGCAAAAUGACCACCACCUCCCAAAGCCAAAUACUCGGUGGAGCAGACAGUGAAAUAGCGAUUGACACCUACUUAGGCACCAGUAUCAGUUUCAUUAGAAUUGAUUUGAAUUCUAAACAGUCCUAAGGCUGAAACAUAUCCAUAAAAAGCAAAAGGAAAUGAACAAUAAGAGUCAAAAACAGAAACAGUUCGGGAUCGUUUGGUUUGUGAACAAGUUAUACUGAGAUUAUAAUACGGGGUUUAAAUUAAAUCAUGACAGGAUUAUUUAUUGGAUAUACUUUUAUUGGUAGAUAUUUGGAUCAUUAAAAGUAUAUCCAAUAAAUAAUUUGGACCAACAGUAAAGUUGUCUCUGUGUGACCUUAUAGGUCACGGGUUCGAGCCGUGAAAGCAGCCACUAAUAUUUACAUUAGGGUAGGUUGUCUACAUCACACCCCCCGGGGUGCGGGCUCACCUUUUCUUAUUUGGAUCGUUGGACUAAAAAUGGUAUAUGCGGGUAUAAUAUAUAUCAUGUCAUACUACACUAGAUAGACUUGGAUAAACUUUUAUCUCCAAUUUUAACCUUGGCUUUCUUAAAAGACUUAGAGAGAAGAGUUCUCGAGAAGAGUGUCAUUUUUUGGUUUGUCUCUGGGUAUCAGUAAUCCCGAGAUUGUUAUCCCACAUAAAGUGUGGUAUAAAAAUAAUACCACAAUUGUGGUACAAAAAAUCCCGGGAUUACUUGUACCGAAAUAAAAAACUCAACCAACGCGGGAUAAAUGAUCCCACAUUUUUCCACGGGAUUAUUAUCCCCUAUCCUCUCGUUCCAGUCAUGCGACUCAUGCCAGGAUUGGGACAGUCGUGGUUUCGUAGAGAAAAAUAUGACUAAUUUCUGGAAAAUAAUAAAAAGAUUGUUACAUCUUUAGUAUACACCACGAAUACAAUAUUUCAUAGCUUGUAUGCUUAUGUUUUCAUCAUCACAAAUGACAGUAAAUCAUGUAACCAAUGGAUUAAAAAUGUUUCAACCCCAUGCUCUCCCACAAAUGGACCACUAUUUUGAUUCUCCUUUCGAUCAUCAAUUUCACAAACAACAAAAGAUAAUGAGAUGCUGAACAAUCCACUCCCAUCCCAAUGUAUUAAUUAAAUUUAUACAGGACAGCAAACAAAAACCAAAAAUGGAAAUUUGUUCUCCAACAUGAAAUGUCUGGUAAAAAUAUAAGGAAAAAAGAGAUACCUGUGGGUCGAAAUAUAACAGGUUGGCCAGAUACAUUUGAGAAAACAAAUGAAUUAUUUGUACCCUGCCAAAUACCACAAUCAAAAUAAAGAAGAAAAAUGGAAACUCAAACACAAAGCGACAUGUUUUGAGUUUUCAGCUAAGAAUUACCUGAUAUCUUCUCUUAGUUGUUGCCCUUAAAGGUGCAUCAACUAGGCCACCAAAUACAGCACCGUUACGAUCCCCCACAACCUAUAAGAUAUGGACGACAUGAGAGAGACACAACUAGCGUCUCAUACCAGAUUUAAUAAUCUCAAGUCUGACGUCUUAAUGACUACAUCCACAAUUCACAGUGACAGAAAAGAAAAAGACACCAGACACAGGAAUGAUUUUAACUUCAAUAAUGCAAAAAGAGAUGGAGCGCUCAGACUCAUACAAAAAGAGCAACCAGCUAGAAUCAAAAACUAAAGUGAAAAUUUUACUGCCCUUUGACUUCAAAAAUGGCACACAGCGAACUUCAGAGGCGUUUCCAGCUCAUGAUCAAUCUUUUAUAUUUUUCAAAACAAUAACGCCUAACCCAGAAAUCUUGAGUUCCAAAAAUAUCAGAAGGAAUAAAUUACCAAAUUAUGAGUUUAUCAGCCAAGAGAGGCAUUACUUAGGUCUUGUUAUGAAACAAGGACACACCUCAUCUUUUCAGUGAAAAUAUAAAUCUAGCUGACCUCCCUGAAAUUGGAAGGAUUACUUGGUUUUUGAAAAUAUAAUUUGGACUGUGACAGCAACACUAAUAAUUUAGGGCAUAAAAAGAUAACAGGACCCACGUAAUCAACAACUGUUCAAAAUGUAAACAAAACUAUUUUCCAAUAUGUUACUCCUGGUACAUACGCCUUUAUAAGCAUAUAAAUAUCUCUUAACAUAAUUACCAGCAGACUGAUGCCAUGCCAGAGUAGGCUUCUCCUAUAUAACGUUGAGAGUGAUAUUCCAUUCCUCCAUGUACUGACAAAAUAGAAACGAGAAGUUAAAGUGGAAAGUAGAAGAGAAAAUAAACAUAUAGAUGCUGCUGAGAAAGGAAUUCAAAUUUAAUUCAACUUAUGAUCCCCUGCCUGUAUAACAAGACCCACUUCCUGUCCUGCACAAGCACCGGCAAUGCAGCAUAAAGAGUGCUUCUAGCCUUCUCAGAGAGGAGCAUUGAAGGCUCAGAAGUUUCCGGAAGUUUGCUCGGAGGAAGUUUCUGAUUCAUAUCUUCCAAAGGUAUCUGAUCAUCAACUUUGGAAUUACUUCCAUCAUCAAACACCAUCUCAGAACUGCCCUUUGCAGAACCCUGAUUUCUAAAGCCGCCUAGUCUAGCGACUCCGUGAAACGCUCUACCGAGGGACUGUUUACCCCUGGAAAGUAUACUUUUUCUUCUGCUAGGUUCCUUCAUUAUAGGUUCAGGUGUUGACUCGUCUUGCUUGCCACUAAUGUUAGACUUACCAUCAGAUCCUGUGGUCGACAGCAGAGAAUAUAGAAAUGCGGUGAAAGAAGAUG